GGGUAGCUAGGUCCGGAUGAAGGUGGCCGCAGCCUUCCGCAGUCCCGCUUUGCCCUCUCGGCCCGCCGCCCGCACCCGCACGUUCCCCACCCGCGCCGCCGUCCGUCUUCUCUGCGCCUCCAAACACCGAAACACGAUAGGGCUCUGCCGUCCCCCUGCAGCCCCGCUCCGUCCAUCCCCACCUGCGCCACCGGUGCCUACGCUUGUCGCCGUCGUCGUCCCUCCCUAGGCUGCACCUCCCUUCGUCCUCGAAGACACCUCGGCUAGCCGACGCUGUCCCUGUUGCCUCCUGCGGAUGGAGGAGGACAAGGAGAAUAGGAGAUACUGGGGGCGCCGGGGAAGGAAGAGGAGAUGCCGUGGGUGGUGGGGAAAGAGGAGGAGGUGCCGGGAGUGGUGGGGAAGGAAGAGGAGAUGCAGGAGCCGAUUGCCCGUUCUCAGGAUUUGACACUACUGUUUUUUCAAGGUUAAUGAUUGGCUAGAGAGACUGGUUGAUGAGAAAGGUGAAGACUUGUACAGAUUACAGGGUGUUAUAUCUGUAAAUGAGUCAACUGGAUGCUUUGUAUUCCAGGGUGUGCACUCCAUGCUGCAAGGAUGCCUAGCGAAGCCAUGGGAGCCUGAUGAGAAGAGAAUCAACAAGUUUGUGUUUAUAGGUAGAAAUUUGGACGAAGCUGCACUAAGGAAAGCCUUCAAAGGUUGCCUGCUAUGAAUACUCUGGUCAUGUAUUCCUCCUUGGGAGAUUGAGGCUCGAACAACUAUGCCGCGGUUAAAUUAGGCACAGGAGCAAGUACAAGCCCCUUAUCUUUUUGGUGUGA